GGCUCAUGGGGCAGAUCCCUCAUGAAUAGAUUAAUAUUCUCCCUGGGUUGCAGGUGAGUGAGUUUUUGGUCUCUUAGUUCCUGUGAGAGCUAGGUUUUAUGGGAUUUUUUUUUUUUUUUAGGCUGGUCUUGAACUCUUGGGCUGAAGAGAUUCUCCCACCUCAGCCUCCCAAGGUGUUGAGAUUACAAGCAUGAGCCACCUCACCUGGCCAAGAGCUAGUUGUUAAAAGAGCCUAGCACUACCCCCCUCUUUCUUGUUUCCUCUCUCACCAUGUGAUCUCCACACACAUUGGCUUGCCUUCCCUUUCUGACAUGAGCGGAAGCAGCCUGAGGCCCUCACCAGAUGUGGAUGCCAGUGCCAUGCUUCUUGUACAAUCUGCAGAAUCAUAAGCUAAAUACACCUCUUUUCUUUAUAAAUUACCCAGCCUUGGGUAUUCCUUUAUAGCAACACAAACGGAGAAAGACAUAUGCAAUUUGCCAUUUUAAUCAUUUUUAACUGUACAAUUUGGUGGUAUUAAUUAUAUUUACAAUGUUGUGCAACCGUUACCACCAUCUAUUACCAAAGCCCUUUCAUCACCCCAAAUAGAAACUGUGCUUAUUCAGCAAAAACUCCCAUUUUCCUCUCCUUCCAGCCCCUGGUAACCUCUGGUAACCUCUAAUCUACCUCCUGUCUCUAUGAAUUUGCCUAUUGUAAAUAUUUCACAUAAUGGUAUCAUACACUAUCCUUUUGUGUCUAGCUUAUUUAACUUAGCAUAAUGUUUUCAAGGUUCAUCCAUCUUAUAGCAUGUAUCAGUAUUCCAUUCUUCUUUUCUAUGGCUGAAUAAUAAUUGUAUGUAUAUACUGCAUCUUGUUUAUCCAUUUAUCUUUUUGUUUGUUUGUUUUUUAAAGACAGGGUUUUACCAUGUUGGCCAAGCUAGUCUCGAACUCCUGAACUCAGGUGAUCCGCCCACCUUGGCCUCACAAAGUACUGGGAUUACAGGCGUGAGCCAUCGUGCCUGGCCUAUCCGUUUAUCUUUUGAUAGACAUUUUGGUUGUUUCUACCUUUUGUCUAUUGUGAAUAAUGCUGCUAUGAACAUUAGUGUACAAGUCACUGUUUAAGUUGUUGUUUUCAAUUCUUUUGGGUAUUGUAUUAGGCCAUUCUUGCAUUGAUAUAAAGAAAUACCUGAGACUGGGUAAGUGCCAAAGAAAAAAGGGUUUAGUUGGCUCACAUUUCUGCAGUCUGUACAGGAAGCAUAGCAGCAUCUGCUUCCAGGGAGGCUUCAGGAAGCUUCCAAUCAUGAUGGAAGGCAAAGUGGGUGCAGGUAUGUCACGUGGCAAAAGCCAGAGCAAGAGAGGAAGUGGGGAGGUGCUGCACACUUUUAAACAAUCAAAUCUUGUGAGAACUCACAAUCUUGAUGACAGCUAGAGAUGGUGAAGCCACUCAUGAGAAACCACUCCCAUGAUCCAAUCACCUCCCACCAGGCCCCAACUCUAACACCGGAGAUUAAUUACAUUUCAACAUGAGAUUUGCAUAGGAACAAACAGUCAAACUAUAUCCGGUAUAUACUUAAGAGUAGAAUUACUGGGUGAUAAUUCUGUUUUACGUUUUGAGGAAUUGCCAAACUAUCUUCCUCAGCAGUUAAACCAUUUACAUUCCCACCAGCAGUAUACUAGGUUUCCAAUUUCUCCACAUGUUCAACAACACUAGUUAUUUUUUCUUCUAAUUAUAGCCAUUCUAGUAGGUACAAAGUGGUAUCUCAUUGUGGUUUUAGCAUCUUUUGAGUUGCUUAUUGACCAUUUACAUGUCUUUUUUUUAGAGAAGUGUCUAAGUAUUUUGUCCAUUAAAAAAUUGAGUUAUUUAUCUUUUAUUUGUUGAGUUGUAGGAUUCUUUAUGCAUUCAAUUCUUUUGGGUAUUGUAUUAGGCCAUUCUUGCAUUGCCAUAAAGAAAUGCCUGAGUAUAUUAGUUUUUUGUCAGAUGUAUGAUUUGCAAACAUUUUCUCCAAUUUUUUGUGUUAUCUUUUCACUUUCUUUAUAGUGUCACUUGAUACACAAUUUUGAUGAAGUCCAAUUUAUCAGUUGUUUCAUCACUUGUACUUUUGAUGUUAUAUUUAAGAAACCGUUGUCAAACCCAAGGUCAUGAAGAUUUUUCAGUAUGUUUUCCUCUAAGAGUUUUAUAGCAUUUAAUAUUUAAGUGUUUUAUAGCAUUAAAUUUUGGUCUUUGAUCCAUUUUCAGUUAAUGUUUGUACAUUGUGUAAAAGUAUAGGUCCAACUUCAUUCUUUUGCUUGUGGAUAUCUAGUUUCCCCAACACCAUUUGUUGAAGAGAUUGUCCUUUUCCCCAUUGAGUGAUCCUGGAACCCUUGCUGAAAAUUAAUUACCCAUAGAUGUGAGUGUUAGUUCUGGCCUCUCGAUUCUAUUCCAUUGGUCUAUAUUGUCUACCUCUGUGCCAAGUCCAUGCUAUUUCAAUUAUUAUAGCUAUGUAGUAAAUUUUAAUAUCAGAAAAUGUGAGUCCUACAACUUUGUUCCUCUUCAGAUUAUUUUGGCUAUUUUGGGUUCCUUGAAAUUUUAUAUGAAUUUUAGAAUAGGUUUUUCCAUUUCUGCCAAAAGCGCUGUUGGGAUUUUAUUAGCGUGAUUACAUUGACUCUACAUAUCAUUUUGAGUAGCGUUGUCAUUUUAACAAUAUUAAGUCUUCCAACUUAUGAACACAGGAUCUCUUUCCAUUUAUUUAAGUCUACUUUAAUUUCUUUCCAGAAUGCUUUGUAGUUUUCAGUGUACAAGUCUUCUGCCUUCCUGGUUAAAUUGAUUUCUAAAUAUUUUAUUCUUUUGGGUACUACUGUAAAUAAAAAAUUCUUAAUUUCCUUUUCAGAUUUUGUACUGCUAGUGUGUAGAAACACGACUGAUUUUUGUGUGUUGAUUUUGUAUUCUGCAGCCUUGCUAAAUUUGUUUAUUAGCUUUAAGAGGCUAUUUUUGGUAUUCUUUAGGGCUUUCUACACUUAUAUCACUUGCAAAUAGAGAUAGUUUUACUUCUUCCUUUCUAAUUUGGAUUUAUUUUAUUUCUUUUUCUUGCCUGAUGGGUCUGGCUAGAACUGCCAAUACUAUGUUGAAUAGAAGUGGCAAACACAGGCAUCCAUGGCUUCUGAUUUUAGUGGAAAAGCUUGAAAUUUUUCCCCAUUGAGAAUGAUGUCAGUCGUGAGUUUUUAAUACAUGGUCUUUAUCAUGUUGAGACAGUUCCUUUCUAUUCCUGGUUUGUUGAACAGUUCUAUCAUAAAGGAGGAAUGGAUUUUCUCAAAUGUUCUUCUAUAUCAAUUGAGAUGAUCAUGAGUUUUUCACUCCUUCAUUCUAUUACUUGGUGUAUUACAUCGACUGAUUUUCAUACGUUAAACCACUCUUAAAUUUCUGGGAUAAAUCUCAGUUGGUCAUAGUGUAAAAUUCUUUUAAGGGCUGCUGAAUUUAAUUUCCUAGUAUUUUGUUGGGGAUUUUUGUAUCUAUAAUGCAUUCAUAGGGGACAUUUGGCUAUAGUUUUCUUGUAUUGUCUGUCUAGCUUUGGUAUCAGGGUAAUGUUGGCUUCAUAGAAUGACUCAGAAAGGGUUCUGUUUCUCAACUUUUUGGAGGAGUUCGAGAAGGAUUAGUGUUAAUUCAUUUCUAAACGUUUGGUAGAAUUCACCAGCGAAGUCAUCAGUUCCUGGGCUUUUCUUUGUUAGGAGAGUUUUGGUUGCUGAUUCAAUCAGAAUUGAAUAUCAUUACUUUUUAUAGAUCUAUUCAGAUUUAUUCUUUGUUCUUGAGUCAACUUUGUUGGUUUGUAUGUUUCUAGGAAUUUGUCUGUUUCAUCUAGGUUAUCCAAUUUUUUGACAUAUAGCUCUUAUACGAAUUCUCUUACAAUCCUUUUUAUUCCUAUAAAUCAGUAGUAGUGUCUUUCAUUUCUGAUUUUAGUAGUUGAGUAUUCUUUUUCCUUAAUCUAGUUAAAGCUUUGUCAACUUUGUUGAUCUCUUCAAAGAACUAAUUUUUUGUUUCAUUGAUUCUAUUGUUUUUCUAUUCUCUAUUUCAUUUAUUUUUGCUCUAAUCCUUAUUAUUUCCUUCCUCUUUAUGGCUUCAAACUCAAUUGAACAUAAAGUAUUAAGAAAUUUGACUUUUUUUCUCAAAUGUCUAAAAUGUAAGAAGAAAUAUGUCUAGAGUCAUCAAAAAGCAGCCUGUUUGUCAGAUUUACUGUUUAAUCCAUGUAAACAGCUUUCAUAUAAUUCAUGAUAGAAUAUUACUAUGUGCUUUGGAAGACACUGAGGAAAGACAAAAGGUCAUUGGGCAGAACCACCCUAGAUUGACUGUUAAGGCCAUCUUCUAGUUUGCAGGACUUGUGGUAGACAGACAGAAUAAUAUCCUGGACCUCUUGGGUGUAUACAGGACAAACUGAAAUAAACUCUCAUUUUUAGAUCAUAAUGUCAUCAUGAAACAUAUCAAUUCGGUCUAUUUCUGAAGAAAACAAGCACAAUGAUAAAGUUUGAAUGUUUGUCUCCUCCAAAUCUCAUGCUGACAUUUGAUCCCCAAUGUUGGAGGUGGGGCGCACUGGGAGGUGUUUUGGUUACGGGGGCAGAUCCCUCAUGAAUGGCUUGGUGCUGUCUUCAUGGGAUUAUGUUCUCACUCCUACUUCCUGUGAGAUCUUAUUGUUAAAAAGAAUCUGAUACCUUCCUCCCCUCUCUUGCUCUCUUCCUCCCUGAUCAUGUGACACACGGGUUCCCCUUUGCCUUCCACCACGAUGGAGGCUUCCUGAGGCCCUCAACAGAAGCAGAUGCUGGUGCCAUGCUUCUCGUACAGCCUGCAGAAUUGUGUGAGCCAAAUAAACCUCUUUUCCUUAUAUAUUACCCAGCCUCAGGUAUUUGUUUAUAGCAAUAAAAACAGACUGAGACACAUGAUGAAGACCCUUUGAUAUCCUAUAAAUAUUGAUUUCUCUCCCUGAGAGAAGAGCAUGAAUCUAAGUGAUGCCAUUACUGUAAUGUGAAUUCCACAACUUUUCUCAAAGAUGUGGCCCAUAUGUUUCUAAUAAUGGCUUUCUAAGAAUCUGUUCUGAAGGGGUACCUUCUCUCUGAUUUUCAUUUGCAUUUCCUGCUUAGCUUACACACUUCAACUUGCCUAUCCACCUGUCCUGACCCCAAUAACCUCCAUCAUCAGACAUCUCAUCUUACCUACCUACUUUCUACUUUUCCCAGUCCUUCCCGUGCUUCAUAAACCAUGAUCAUGAGCUAGAGACACAAGGUCAUAGCUAAGGAGUUGGGAUCAGAAAAUCACCUUCUGUGAUUUUCCAUUAUUCUCAAUACGUAACUUCAACAAAAUCAAGAAAAUCAUGAAAGGACAUCCUAAGGGGUCAGGUGAGGUUGCAGUGGGGUUAGUCGGUCAAUAGUUUCUUUAUGCCAAUUAGGAUUUCUGCAGAAAACAAUGAAACACUGGUUUAAACAGUAAAAAUAUUUUAAUUCCUUACAGAAGCCCAUGGAACAUACACUCCAGGUUUAAUUCAUCAGCUCAAUAGCAUCAUCAACGACUUAGGUUCUUUCCACUUUCUGCUUGUCAUCUGUGUUGGCUUUAUUUUCAAGCUAGCUCCUCCCUGGUUGCAAGAUAAUUGCAGCAGGUUUAGUUAUCAUAUUCGGACAUGCUAACGCCCAGGCUAGUGAUCCCUUCCUUACAUUUCUUUCUCAUUUUAAGAACAAAGUGUUUAAAAAAUUAUACUUAAAAUUAUUGGCAUCUCUGUCAAUUGAAAGAUGUCAAUCUCUUUCAUUUUUCCUAAUCACUAAUAACAUCUACUAAAAACAAAAUGUCUGUGUAAAUAAUUUAUUUGAAUAAAAUUAAAGUUGUUGAGUGAGCUCGGCUUUUGAGGAGUGGGAAAGGAGGGGUGCAUAGAUUAGUGGAAGAUGAGAAGCUAGU
rnacentral:lncRNA from 10 species